GACGAACGCUGGCGGCGUGCUUAACACAUGCAAGUCGAACGGAAAGGCCCUGCUUUUGUGGGGUGCUCGAGUGGCGAACGGGUGAGUAACACGUGAGUAACCUGCCCUUGACUUUGGGAUAACUUCAGGAAACUGGGGCUAAUACCGGAUAGGAGCUCCUGCUGCAUGGUGGGGGCUGGAAAGUUUCGGCGGUUGUGGAUGGACUCGCGGCUUAUCAGCUUGUUGGUGGGGUAGUGGCUUACCAAGGCUUUGACGGGUAGCCGGCCUGAGAGGGUGACCGGCGACAUUGGGACUGAGAGACGGCCCAGACUCCUACGGGAGGCAGCAGUGGGGAAUAUUGCACAAUGGGCGGAAGCCUGAUGCAGCAACGCCGCGUGCGGGAUGACGGCCUUCGGGUUGUAAACCGCUUUCGCCUGUGACGAAGCGUGAGUGACGGUAAUGGGUAAAGAAGCACCGGCUAACUACGUG
rnacentral:rRNA from 1 species